AUUGUUUUAUUUAUCCAUUAUUUAUACAGAUAGUCUCAUUGAGACACGAAGUCUCAUUCUCAAGAGAGACCUGUUUCAGUCAUAAAUCCAAUGACAACCAC